CGGCAAACGUGUUAAUAAUUCAUCUUUUAAAUACAUACAUCUUGUGAUCAGACGAACAUACAUGUUCAUUUUGCAACAUGUGUUCUCAAGUGCCGCGUGCGUUUUGUGCUGUGACCACUAAUCCGGAUGAACGUUCGCCAACAAAACCCAAAACCCGCCAGCUCAAGCAUCAAUUCUUUCCUCCAAACAGGAUAAAAAGGAUUUGAUCCGACUUGUAUCGGGGCACCCCAUGCUCUGGCAGACCAAUGACAACUAUUAUAAUAAUAGGAAACAGACUGCCGGAGCAUGGGGGGAAAUAGCCAGGCAUCUGGCGACCACCGUGGCCAGAUGCCAGAAAGUUUGGCACCAGCUCCGGUACAAGUACCGAGCAAUAAGGAUA